UACGUAGGUGGCAAGCGUUGUCCGGACUUACUGGGCGUAAAGAGCGCGCAGGCGGUCGGAUAAGUCGAGUGUGAAAGCCCCUGGCUCAACCAGGGAGGGUCAUUCGAUACUGUUCGACUCGAAGGCAGGAGAGGGAAGUGGAAUUCCGGGUGUAGUGGUGAAAUGCGUAGAUAUCCGGAGGAACACCAGUGGCGAAGGCGGCUCACUGGACUGGUACUGACGCUGAGGCGCGAAAGCGCGGGGAGCAAACAGG
rnacentral:rRNA from 1 species